rnacentral:lncRNA from 1 species
GGUUCCCAAGGAAGAUAGCUCAGGAGACGAUAGUGGUGAAUCGGGAUGAAGACUCCUCAGAGGAAGAGCUGACUUGGACAGACAAAAUAUCAUAGUUCCACCUAGUCUCACCCACAAUGCCUGGCCACAAGCCAUCUUCCACGCAUCCUGAAAGCUCCUCCACUACUCCAGCCCUACUCUGAGAGUUACAGGCCUUGCUUCAAUCUGGAAAUUGUCCUUUCUUUAUGGGACAUGUUCAAGCACAUUCUACGCUUCCUAGUCCUGUGCAUGAAGGUUCUUCAAGGAGAGUAACUCCUGUCCGCUUUCACUUGAAGAUGGUCCCUUUUCUUAGGUUAAAUGAAUAUUUAAAAUGAGAUGAAUUGAGCUGAAUGAAAAUAAAUUAUCAGUAGAAUGGAAAC